rnacentral:tRNA from 1 species
GUUGAGGUGGCCGAGUGGUUAAGGCGAUGGACUUGAAAUCCAAUGGGAUCUUACCGCACAGGUUCAAACCCUGCCCGCAACG